rnacentral:piRNA from 1 species
UAUAACUCUUGCAUCUAUCUCCCAGCAAAAA